GACGAACGCCGGCGGCGUGCUUAACACAUGCAAGUCGAACGGAAAGGCCCUGCUUUUGUGGGGUGCUCGAGUGGCGAACGGGUGAGUAACACGUGAGUAACCUGCCCUUGACUUUGGGAUAACUUCAGGAAACUGGGGCUAAUACCGGAUAGGAGCUCCUGCUGCAUGGUGGGGGUUGGAAAGUUUCGGCGGUUGGGGAUGGACUCGCGGCUUAUCAGCUUGUUGGUGGGGUAGUGGCUUACCAAGGCUUUGACGGGUAGCCGGCCUGAGAGGGUGACCGGCCACAUUGGGACUGAGAGACGGCCCAGACUCCUACGGGAGGCAGAAGUGGGGAAUAUUGCACAAUGGGCGGAAGCCUGAUGCAGCAACGCCGCGUGCGGGAUGACGGCCUUCGGGGUGUAAACCGCUUUCGCCUGUGACGAAGCGUGAGUGACGGUAAUGGGUAAAGAAGCACCGGCUAACUACGUG
rnacentral:rRNA from 1 species